AUACGAAGGGGGCUAGCGUUGUUCGGAAUUACUGGGCGUAAAGCGCGCGUAGGCCGCCUUCUAAGUCGGACGUGAAAGCCCUCGGCUCAACCGAGGAACUGCCUUUGAUACUGGGUGUCUAGAGUGUGGAAGAGGUAAGUGGAAUUCCGAGUGUAGAGGUGAAAUUCGUAGAUAUUCGGAGGAACACCAGUGGCGAAGGCGGCUUACUGGUCCAUUACUGACGCUGAGGUGCGAAAGCGUGGGGAGC
rnacentral:rRNA from 1 species